AGAAGCGUGCCAGAGAGGCCGAUUGGGCUCGACUGCUAAUCGAGAACUCGCCGAAAGGGGAGUCGCGGGUUCGAAUCCCGCCGCUUCUGCCA
rnacentral:tRNA from 2 species